GAUCCUGGCUCAGGAUGAACGCUGGCUACAGGCUUAACACAUGCAAGUCGAGGGGCAGCAUGAACUUAGCUUGCUAAGUUUGAUGGCGACCGGCGCACGGGUGAGUAACACGUAUCCAACCUGCCGAUGACUCGGGGAUAGCCUUUCGAAAGAAAGAUUAAUACCCGAUGGCAUAGUUCUUCCGCAUGGUAGAACUAUUAAAGAAUUUCGGUCAUCGAUGGGGAUGCGUUGCUA
rnacentral:rRNA from 1 species